rnacentral:misc_RNA from 1 species
CAUUAGUAGUCGAACAACUCACGGUAAACCGGUGGGUUCGCGAUGAUGCGCGAGAAAAUGCGCUUCUCGACGCGAGUUUCCGCUUUCCCACGACAGUAGUAGCAACAAAACCCGCGUAGUUUCCAGUGAAACCCUUCUCGGUCGGAAAAUUUAUUUUCUUCUUCUUCUUAUUUUGGAUUUAAUGCAGCGACGACGGUUACGACAAAGGGUGAGGGUGACGUAACAUUUGGACAAGUGCGAACAAGUGAGACAAUAAACAAGACCGAAGUGGCGGGCGUGAAACAAUGCAUACUAAAAGCGGGUUGGAUCAAAUGUCAAGAAUUCCUUUUAGUCCGGGUUUCCAGGGUCCAGAGUGAGCGUGGAUCGCAGAAUGCUCCUCUGAAAAGAUGUCCUAAUAUGGGUCAGCCUUGGAUGUUCCUUCGUGCUGCUGCGAUUUUACUAGUGACUAGGCAAACCUUGGCACUAUCCGACAUCUUCGAAGAAGGAAAAUCUGACAAGGAAAUCCUCGAUAACCUUCUAAGGGCUACACGCUAUGAUAAAAGACUGUUGCCACCAGUUAGAGGUUCACUCACAGUCAACGUAAGUGUACUUUUAUUAAGCUUGGCAUCUCCUGACGAAUCUAGUUUGAAAUACGAGGUGGAGUUUCUCCUGCAGCAACAGUGGUACGAUCCACGGUUACGAUACUCGAACCAGAGCGAGUACAAUUAUUUGAACGCGAUCCAUCAUCAUGACGACAUCUGGCUUCCGGAUACGUAUUUCAUUAUGCACGGCGAUUUUAAGGAUCCACUGAUACCCGUCCAUUUUAGCUUGAGGAUAUACCGGAAUGGAAGCGUCAAUUAUUUGAUGCGAAGACACUUGAUCCUAUCCUGCCAGGGCAGCUUGAACAUAUUCCCAUUCGACGAUCCCAAAUGUACAUUUUCAAUGGAAAGUAUAUCGUACGAGAUAACCUCAAUAAACUACGUGUGGAAAAAUGACGAGGAUGUUCUUCGAAAGUCGCCGAGCUUAACAACACUUAACGCUUAUCUAAUUAAGAAUCAGACGCUCGAGUGUCCUAUACAGUCUAGUUGGAGAGGUAACUACAGUUGCCUUCGGGUCCACCUGAUAUUCACCAGGGACCGAGCGUUCUACUUUACCACCGUCUUUAUUCCAGGAAUAAUAUUGGUGACGUCAUCGUUUAUUACGUUUUGGUUGGAGUGGAACGCUGUGCCAGCCAGAGUCAUGAUAGGCGUAACGACAAUGCUCAACUUUUUCACCACCUCGAACGGAUUCCGGUCAACUUUGCCGGUGGUGUCGAACCUGACCGCCAUGAACGUUUGGGACGGGGUCUGUAUGUGUUUCAUCUACGCGUCGCUUUUGGAAUUCGUCUGUGUAAACUAUGUGGGACGCAAACGACCCCUUCAUAACGUAGUUUAUAGGCCUGGGGAGAAUCCCUUUACGCAGCGUUUGCCGGCUGUGCUGAGCAGGAUAGGCAUUAUACUGGCCAGUCCAUUGGACAUUGUCGAACAAGAAUACUUUUCUACUUUCCGUGAAAGUCCCAUAAAUCAGCCGUUCGUAAGUGAAGGUGAUAAAAAGCGAGAGUCAACGACAGUGGUCGCAAACGAAAUCGUGACUUGCCAAAACUGUGGACCAAAUCCGUGCACGCAUACUAAUAAUGGGUGUCCAGCUGCAGAGGGUUCAACUUUGCAGGUCAGAAAGAAGGAACCUCCUCAUCCGAUCAGAGUGGCGAAGACAAUCGACGUAAUAGCGAGGAUCACCUUUCCUACUGCUUUUGCGGUUUUUCUCGUGUUCUUCUUCUACCACUACAAGAGCUUUACAAAUACACACGAGUGAAUAUGGAACAGGAGGACUAUUGUAACCCGCUUCGUUACUAAAAGACUUUUAGAGAAAGAUGUCUCUUGGUACUGAAGCGGAUGGUGAGAACGCGUGCCUAUAUAUUUGUAAAAAAAAAUUAUUAAAAAUGUUAUUAGUGAUAAACGGCUUGACGGUACAUAUCAAGCAAUAUUAGUGGACUUGUCGGAAAUAUGUACUUAAUUUAUUACGUAUGAAAAAUUAUUUUCGAGAUUUUCGCAAAGUUCGCAAUACGAGGUAGCUCUUGAAGCACUGUAUAUAUACCAAGAUGUACUUUAGAUUUAAUAAGCGUUCGUUCUGCGUCAUUUAACUUACACCAAAAUUAGGGUAAAUUAGUGUAUGUAUACAUCCGCGUGAAUAAUUUGUUUUUUCGAUAUACUAUUGCAGUCUUAUGAAAAUAAUUGUUGAAGUUAACGCAAGCUAGGGAUGUGAUUAAAGAAACCUUUUUUUGGGUGCAUUUUUUUAACCAUCGGUAAAAUUUUAAUUUAUUAAAGCAGAAGUAAAUCAACUUGAUCACUAUCAUGGUGACAUAGUCAUGACAUGGUAACAUAGGCGCAUAUCAUACAUUGUAUUUCUUGUACGUUGAGUAUGAGUUGGUAAUUUUGUAUUUCUUCCAGGCUGUCAGGGAACCAAGGCUUCAACUGCCUGGAAGAAAGACAAUAUGACUGAAAGUACCUAUGAAGAAAGAAUACAGAUUUCUGGCCUAGAAAACGCAAGACAUUUGCGCAAAUAAUUUAUUAACAUUUGAGAAAAGUGUGAAGAACUGACUAGUUAAAGAAAUUUUUCAUUUCUUCCAGGCAGUUGAAGCCUGGAAUUGCCGGACUGCCUGGAAGGAAUAAAAAAUUACAUUUCAGAUAGUCUGGAAUAAAGACAAUAUGACUGAAGGUGGCGGUGAAGAAAGAAUACAGAUAUCUGGUCUAGAAAACACUAAAAACUUACUCAAAUAAUUUAUUAAGGUUUCAGAAAACUGUGAAGAACUGAAGAGUUAAUGUAAUUUUUUAUUUCUUCCAGGCAGUCCAGGAAUUCCAGGCUUCAAGUGCCUGGAAGAAAGACAAUAUGACUGAAAGUACCUAUGAAGAAAGAUUACAGAUUUCUGGCCUAGAAAACACUAAAAAUCCGCUGAAAUAAUUUAUUAACAUUUGACAAAAGCUUGAAGAACUGAAGAAAUUUUUCAUUUCUUCCCGGCAGUUGAAGCCUGGAAUUCCUGGACUCUCUGGAAGGAAUAAAAAAUUACAUUUCAAAUAGUCUGGAAAUUACAGGCUUCAACUGCCUGGAAGAAAGAAUACAGAUUUCUGGCCUAGAAAACACUAAAAAUCCGCUGAAAUAAUUUAUUAACAUUUGACAAAAGCUUGAAGAACUGAAGAAAUUUUUCAUUUCUUCCCGGCAGUUGAAGCCUGGAAUUCCUGGACUCUCUGGAAGGAAUAAAAAAUUACAUUUCAAAUAGUCUGGAAAUUACAGGCUUCAACUGCCUGGAAGAAAGAAUACAGAUUUCUGGCCUAGAAAACACUAAAAAUCCGCUGAAAUAAUUUAUUAACAUUUGACAAAAGCUUGAAGAACUGAAGAAAUUUUUCAUUUCUUCCCGGCAGUUGAAGCCUGGAAUUCCUGGACUCUCUGGAAGGAAUAAAAAAUUACAUUUCAAAUAGUCUGGAAAUUACAGGCUUCAACUGCCUGGAAGAAAGAAUACAGAUUUCUGGCCUAGAAAACACUAAAAAUCCGCUGAAAUAAUUUAUUAACAUUUGAGAAAAGUGUGAAGAACUGAAUAGUUAAAGAAAUUUUUCAUUUCUUCCAGGCAAUUGAAGCCUGGAAUUCCAAUUUAUAAAAAUAGUUAUUGGCACCCUGAACAAAUGUAUCGAUAGACCCACUUAACCCCUUGCAAUCUUGCUGAAGGAUAAUAAUCUUCGAUUCUGAGAAUAUUGUAUAUGUGCACACAUCCCAGAUUCUGCGGUCCUAGGUUCUGAUCUACAAAAUCAUAUACUCAGAAGUCAAUAACAAAACAAAUAUUUUAAAUAAACAUUGAGCUUAAAAAACAACAGCCAAAAACUAAAACAAAAAUCUUUAAAAAAUAUAAAAACACGGUGUGAUAAACUUAUAAAUUAUUGAAAUAAAUAUUUUUCAGCUAUUUAAACUAUUGAUUAGUCGCUUAAUCAGCUUUACAUUACGCACAUAAAAAAUAAAAGCAAUAAAUAUUCAAGUGUAAAAAUAAAGAAUAUUCAGUCAUCUUUUUUGUAUCUCUAUUCCUAAAAAAGAAAAAAAAUAUCAAUAUUGGUAAUAAAUUAAAUCAGAAUAUACAGUUUCGAAAUAAAUAGUAAAAACAAUGAAUUAGAUAAAUCAUAGUAUGGUAAUAUCAUAAUGAAGACAGAUUAGAAUUAUCCAAUAUUGGUACUUACAUUUCUCCAUUAAAGGAGCUCUAAUGCUUUAGCUAAAACACAUCUUUAACUGAUUUUCAGUUCCCACCUUAAAUUGACGAUUUGCUUGCAAAUGUCUAAAAAAAGAUUUACAGUAAAAAAAAUUAAUGCACUAAUGGUUCCAAUUGCAGUAACAUAAUUAUUUCAGAUUCUGGCAUUGAUUGAAUAGUAUCAUUUUAUGAUAUUAGCUAAAAGAUAUAUUAUAUUUAUCGAUACUUUAUGAUUUACCUUUUAUUAUACCUAUACAGUAUACAUCCAUAUCUUGAUUACCUAUACAUGUUUAAGAUUGAUACUUGAUGUUUUUCUUGUUUUUACAAUACAUUGUUUUUCACAAAUUCAUUAGCAUCUUGUGACAUUUGCUUGGUAAAUAAACAUGGUAAAUUAAACAUCCUAAUACAUUUUUGUAAUUGUUAUCACUAAGACAAUUAUUAAAAUAGAGUAAACCUAAUAAGAAAAUUAAAAAUUGAUUAAUACAAUUGUUGUAAUUGUAAAAGUCUUCUAUGUCUGAAUGGCAAUAAACUCGGGCAUCUUUAAUAUGUAAUGGUCUCUAGAAAAAAUCUAUCACUAUUAGGCCAGUAAAACUAUGGGUCCAACCCGGAACAAAUUUGGGACUAGCUGAAAUUGUCAGGAUACCUUCUGUAGGUUGUCGACAAUGUUUCCUCAGAAAUCGCACUAAAUCGCAUGGGCGGUACUCGCCCAAUAGGGCUUUAAACUAAAAAAAAGUGCUUUUUUAUUAUUUUUCAAAAAUAUCUAAGAAACUAUUAUCUUUUUUAAAAAUCUACAAGAAAAAAAAAUUAUUGCCAAUAAAAAUACCUACAAAACAUUUUUUUGUUUUUUAAAAUCGGCCUAAAAACAAAAAAGUUAUGGGCUUAUAAAAAUUGAGCCGAUUGGGCUUGGAUUCUAUUAAACUGCUUUUGAUAAAUUCGACUUUAUUAACGCUGACGCAAAUUAAUUGAAUGUUUUUUAUAAGAAAAAUAUGGUAGAUUUAAUAUUUUAGGUAAAGCGUUAAACUCAAAAAUAGGUAAAUAAUACUAUGCUAAAAUGUGCUGCUAUUUACUCGUUUAAUAAUAAUCUCAAAUAAUAUUAAAAAAAAAAACAGAAAUAUAGUAUAAAACUAAAGUCUGUAUGGCAUGGUACCUAAAUGACACUUUUUAAAGAGUUAGGCCAGUUGUAUUUAUUAUUAAAUUUGAUACCAAACACAGUAAUCGUCUCAUACAGUCAUGAACAAAAGUAUACUUACUUUAUUAAAACAAAUUUUAAUAAAAGAAAAAGAAAUUAUUCUAUAGAUUCAUCAUUUUCAACAAAAGACACAUUUGUUGCAUUGUCACAAUACUGUCCAAUGCAAAUUGUACAGCUUGAUGAACAUUUAAUUCCUACCUUUUUGCAGAUACACGUUUUGGAGCAUACUGACUUGCAUCCACAAAAUAAUAAUUUUAUAAUAAAAUCGGGAGCGAUGUCCUUACUGUUUCUUUGUGGGUCUAAGUAACCGUCCUUUUCCACCCAACCCCACACUCUUGGAUCUAAAUUAUUUCCCAACCAUGACUGUACCUGAAGGUAAACCCUUUUAAGAUGUAAUUGAGCAGCUUCAGUUGUCGGGGGUAAAGAAGCUAGCUCAAAGUUACUACACAGUUUUUGGCGUGCAAUUACCUGAUUGUAUUUUACAUACCUAAAUGAGUUUAAAUUUUGACUUCUCCUACUGCCGUACCAUUUUAGAAUAAAAUUUUCUCCUAAUUUUAAUAAAGUGGCAAUAUCACUGAAUACCCCUUUAAAUUGAAGUAAAUCUUCGGAAAGCUUUUCAUUUUUAGACAAAACAAUUAAAGCACUUUUUUUUGCCCUUUUUAAAGAAUGCCGAUGUGGUAUCGCAACCCGACAUUGCAUGAACAAAUAAUAUGUUUUUAACUAUUGCAGGAUCUAAAUUCGAUUUUAAUGUAUGUAUAUUUGUUAUUUUGUCCAUUUUGCCUGCAACACCUGGUCUAAAAAGCAAAUAGAAGUUUUAAAUAAUUUACAAUUUUUUACUUGGUUGUGACAUUCGGCAUUGGUAUUAUAUGGCAAUGUUGGAUGUUCGGUUCCAACUGAAGUAAAGUAAUAAUUAGGUAUCAUGUGUUUUUUUUACAAAAUGGUUCAAUUUUUAGAUAUAAUUGCAGCUCAAGCCGUAAUGGCCUAAUAUUUAAAGGCCCAUAAGUUCUUUGUUUUUAAGGUGAUUUUGAAAAACAAAAAGCGGUUUUGUAGCUAUUCUUAUUGGCAACAAAUUUCCCCUUAUAAAAUUUUUAAAUAGUUUAUAUUUUUUGAGAUAUUUUCAAAGAAAUAAAAAAAAAUACGGUUUGUUAGUUUAAAGUCUAAUUGGGCAAGUACGACCCAUGCGAUUUAGUGCGAUUUUAAGGAAACACUGUCGACCAUCUAAAGAAGGUAUCCUGAAAGUUUCAACUUGUCGCAAAUUUGUUCCGAGUUACCCCAUGUAAACACCUUAGUUUUACUGGCCUAUAUGUAAUAAUGUGUCAUAUUCUCUAGAGAGCUCUCCUAACAAUCCUAACAAAUAAUCUAAACUUUCCAGAUAACAUACUUUUUUAUUGUUAUAAAACUAUAGUUCAACUUAGUAUCGGAUAUUUUUAUUUAUUUAAAAUUAAACUAUAGAAAACUUUUAAAAACUUUAUUAAUUAUUCACACAACACCAACAUUUAUAAGAAUGAGGUAAAAAGGGAUGGAUGUAUCGAUACUAUUUGGAAUUUCGAUGUACGGGUUCAAAAAUGUAUUUGUUUUUCUUUUUUUUCUCAUUCCCAUGUAUUGACUAAAAACAUGGUAACGAAUUAUGAACGAAGCGUUAAAUAACGCAAAUUUAACUAUAGGAUAUGUUAGAUAUGUACCUAUUACAUUGGUUUAAAACGUUCAGUGUAAUAUUAUAACGCCGUAUCAAUACUUACUACGAACUUCUAAUAUGGAUUCCUAAGAUAAAAUGGCAAUGGCAAGAAAAGAGAAAGCAGGUUUUUAACGACACAAAAAACGAGUUCGAGAGAGUGAGGCACAGUAAACGAACAAUAGUACGGAAUCGCUGUAGCAAAAUUUGAUAAAAAAAUAAAAUAUGAUAAAUAAUAAUAAUUUUUAAAAUAGUAUAUUAACUAAAAAAUCGAAAGACAUAUUAAAUAUAGGUACUACCUUUCACAAAAGCAGCUGAAAUAUCUGACAAAAGAUGAAAAGUGUAUAUUCUCUGCAUAUCUGCCCGGAAUAUUGCUUUUGCAUAUACGAUAUUUGGCAUAUUCGUGGGAUAUUCCAGUCAUAUUGCAAUAUAUUUCGUCAAAUGAGUAUAGUCGGAUAUUGUACAUUAUAUAGAGGUUUUCUACACAUGCGUAUGGUUACCAAAGCUAAUGACCUCUAAAACUAAGCUAAACUUCCAGGGGCUAUAUUUCGAAAACCAUCACUCCCACAAAAAAAUUACUCUAACAAUUCUUGUUGUCCUUAAAAAACUCUACAACUCUUAUAACAGGCUUCAUGACUUUAACAUCAUACUAACUAAGAUAUUAAGGAUAAAGUGAGAGUAAGCGGUGACAAACAUAAUUUGCAUAAAGGUGAACUUCCAGGAGCUCUAUCUCGAAAACCGUCACUCACACAAAAAAAAUUACUUUAACAAUUCUUGUCCUUAAAAAACUGUACAACUCUUAUAAUAAGCUUUAUGACUCUAAACUCAAUACUAACCGAGAUAUUAAGGAUAAAGUGAGAGUAAGCGGUGACAAACAUAAUUUGCAUAAAGGUGAACUUCCAGGAGCUCUAUCUCGAAAACUCUCACAGAAAAAAUUACUCCAAUCAUUCUUGUAGAUCUCACUAAGAUCUAGCACUUUUAUUUGUUCCUCUAAAAAUGCGACUUUAAUUAACUUGAUUUUAUUGUGAGCGUCUUUUUCUUACCGCUAACUUCAAGCUCAGCCCCUUACAAAAAUUUAAAAAUUAUGCCGCUUAUUUUAAAUGAAUUUUUAUUAAACGGUUGAAAGUGUUUAAAUUUUUGUCAUCACUGUCAAAAGUCCAAUAUGUACGAAAUAUUUUUUUCUAAUUUACUCCAUUUAUCACAUUUUUUUAUACUCGCAUAAAGGUGAACUUCCAGGGGCUGUAUCUCGAAAACCAUCAUUCUGACGGAAAAAAUUACUCUAACCAAUCUUGAUGAGCUUAAAAAAAUCUAUAACUUCUAUAGAGACCUUUAUGACUCUAAAAUUGAUACUAACUGAGAUAUUAAGGAUAAAAGGUAAGUAAGCAGUAACAAACUUAAUUUGAAUAAAGCUAAACUUCCAGAAACUAUAUCUCGAAAACCAUCACUCUUAUAAGAAAAAUUACUUUAACCAUUCUUGUUGACCUUAAAAAAGUCUACAACUUCUAUAAUCAGCUUUAAUACUGUAAAAUUAAUAUUAACCGAGAUAUUAACGAUUAAAUGUGAGUAAGCAGUUCUAAGCUUGACUUGCAUAAAUUUAAGCUUCCAGGAUUGGACGUUCCUGCCCUAAUGGAUGAUAUUUCCAUAAGUGUUUAUCAGCAUAAUUUUGAAUGCUGUAAAUAAUAUUCUUUUGAAAAUCAUAAUUUUGAAGGUCACCUAGGUAGAUCAGACUUUGUCCUUGUACUUUAAAGCCUUAAAGCGCUGAUAUUUCUACUAGACUAACUUGAAUCCACAAUAAAAAAUUUAAAGAAAAAAUUAAACUUUUUUUGGAUAUUAUGCUUUAUAUUUCAUCAAAAUAGUCUUAGUAGUUCUUCGGAUUUUGGACUUUCAAAUGGGCGGUAUAUAGAUCAGACGUUGUCCUUGGACUUCACUGUCUAAAAAAGUCAAUAAUUCCAAAAAUAUAUGUUAGAUCACUUUGAACUGUAAACAACAUUUGUAGACAAUAUAUUUCUGAGUAGCAUAUUUUCUAUUUUAUGAGGAAACUAAACUGUUAUUACUGUAAUAUUGAUAUUAACUGAGAUUAAUUAGUCUGGUAGUCCCGUUUUUAUAGAUUCUGUACCUUGUUCAGGACACAAUUCGAUCGGAUCUUUUUUUCUAAUUUCAUAUGUGAAAUAUUUUUUCCAGGCAUUAAAAUAAUGAAAGAAAUGCAUCCAAAAGAAGUAGUCAUGGAUUUUUCACUCGAAAUGUGAUAAUCACGAAAUGCGCUUUAAACUAGUGUUUAUAUAUUUUGUUUAAGCAUUUUAAUAAGAAAUAGAAAAUCUAUGUUCUUUAAGCACCUUUUCCCAAUUGUUUCUUUUAAAAAUUUUUGGCAUAAUAAAACAAUCAAAUUAAUUGCAAAUCAGUUUUUCUAUUUUUUAUUAAUUAUUAUUAUUACAAUUAUAUAGAGCAUAAUUUAUUAUUUAGAACCCAUAUUUUUAUGAUCCACUUUAUAAAUGGGCUAACUCUUAUACAUUAGAUUUAAGAAGGAAAAAAAAACAUUUCUGUGAUUGUAGAUGAUAUAGACGAUCUUUAAAAUUACUAAGUUAAAAUAUUUAUUGUAAAUAUAAAUCAUCGUUUUAAUUUGUACCUGACUUAUUUCUAUCAUCUUUCAAUUUUUAAAAAUUAUUGCCUAGUCACUAGAACGUUAGAAAACUCUAAAUGUUGUUAUAUUUAUUAUAUUAAUAUUAUUUAUUACACUGUUAAACAUUUUUAAUCGUAGUUUAUCUCAUUAUAAAGUUUACACUGCAUUCCGACUAUAGUUGUAAUUCGAAAUUAUGCCACUUACUAUACUACUGCAGGCACUAAUAUAAGAAUAAUAUAUAAGACAAAAGUUCAAUUUUUGUAUUAAGUUUUGGAUUAAGGAAAUGUACUAUCAUAGGUAGUACAUUUCUGCAUAACUUUUCAAAUGUUGUUUGUUCCUCUUCCUGAGAGUCUACAGUGUCCUCUCGACUUUUCAUUAAUUGCUCAUAGUAAAAUCAGCUCAUAUUUAAAAUAAGUUCCUGGAGGAUUAUUUUUUAAUCCAGUUUUCCACUGCUGCUUUGAACAGUCUUUGAAACCUGGCUACAAUCAGUUUGUAAACCAAGGUAAGAUUCCAGGACAUUUAUAACUGCAUCUAAACUGCCUUUAAUUGCAUUCAUUGCCUCUAGACUUUGUGAAUAAAUGAAGGUCUUGUAUGUAACUAAUUGACUCUUGGUACCGUUAUUUCUACUUCUAUAAAAAUUUAGAGCAGCUGUAAAUUCAGAGGAUACUUGACAGCUAUGACACUAAUAAAUUUGAAAUUGAAGGAACUUGAUACAAAAAUGAUUCAAUUCGAAAUGUAUGUUGGUCAAACUAAAUCUUGAUCAAAGUGUUUUUCUUUAAUAUUCUAAAUGAUAAUGUGUAGUAUAUUUGCCUUAGGCACAUAUAGAGCAAAACCUGUGAUGAUGACUGAAGAGCUAUUAUGCUGCUUUCGAACCAAUUUAGAUAUUAUUAUGUGUAAUUUGAUAUCCCAGAUUAUUAUUGAAGGUAAUGUAAAGUAUAAUUUAUUAGAUCUACUGUUUGGCAUUAGGUUUUUAAUCUAACAUGUUUAUAAGAAGACCUAAUGCCAAACAUAUUUUAAUAUACUUAAUUUAACUUAAGCAUUAGGGCUUUCGUUACCAAGCCUUUCAUGCUUUGUCCUACCUUUAAAUGCAAUAAAGAAACCCAGUAAUUAAGAAAUCGAUGCUACUUGUGGCCUUAACAAUUGUGCGAUAAACUAUUCCUAAUUAUAAUGCUUGUAAGUUAAUAAAUUUUAUGUAAGUUU